UAAAAAUAAAAAAUAGAAGUUAUAUUCCAUAGCAUGAGAUUGACCAUCAUAAUAAAUCCGUACGAGUGAUUCGGGUAGAAAAGGGGGGGAUUCAUCUUCAUCAGAUGCUUUCGGAUCUGAUCUGAGGAAGAAGCUCCAUACCCCUUUUCGGAUCUGAUUGGCCACUAUAGAAUCUAGGCUAAGACAACUUUGAGUAUUACCAAUUGUCAAACCAAAACCAAAAUCUAGGAACAAAACGGGGGCUGAGAGAUCUCCAUUGGACUGAAAAUGGAGUUCUUGGACGAGGAUGCCAGGCCCAAGUUCCUCUUUAAGGCACGGCCACAACCUGCUCCUUCGGCCACAGAUCCACAAACUCACCCCACCAAUAAGCUAUGCAACCCAAUCCUCCUCCUCACAGUUUCACUCUCAUUCCUUCUCUUCCUCCUCUCCAUCUUCUUCCUCCAAUCCGAACCCUUUAAAUCUCUCCUCUUAUGGCUCUCCUUCUCCUUCAUUUUAGGCCCAUUCGCCCCUGCUUCCUUCACAGGCGGUGACAUUAGCGUUGGUCAAGGUCCGGUUCUUGAUCUCCCAGAAGAGUCAUCCCAAUCUGAUGAGGAUACCAAGAAGAGGGGUUCUCAGAAGAGGUCUAAAGUUCGUCGAUAUGAGGAAGUGCCAGUUGAUUCAGUACCGGUGGUUGAAAAUCUUAAUGGGUCUGUGAGAGAACGGAAGAACAAGAAGAAUGAUGACAAUGGGGUUGUAGUUUUUGGGGAAGAAGAAAAGGAGUGGGUUGAGGAGGAAAUUGAGGUUCUGAAAAAGCAGCUUUUGAAGAAUCCGGUGGGGAAGCCGAGGCGGUGGGAAGUGAUUGCUGAGGCUUUCUCGGGUCGGCAUAAGGUGGAGAGUGUGAUCAAGAAGGCCAAGGAGUUAGGGGAGAAGAAAUCGAACGAUGCUGAUUCGUAUUCGGAGUUCUUGAAGAAGAGGAAUAAAACAGCAGAUCAGAGAAUUGAGCUUGGUUCAAAUGAAGGAGGAUCUGAUGGUGUUGGUUCAAUGGCAGAAAAUGGAGUUGUGAGUUGGGCUAGUGGAGAAGACAUUGCUUUGCUUAAUGCUUUGAAGGCUUUUCCUAAGGAGGUUUCGAUGAGGUGGGAGAAAAUUGCUGCUGCUGUUCCUGGAAAAUCCAAGGCAGCCUGUAUGAAGAGAGUUACUGAACUCAAGAAAGAUUUUAGAAGCUCAAAAGCUUCUACUAUUGUUGAGAAUUAGAUAGAUGAAGCAGUGAUUUGAAUCGGGUUUUGGCUGGAAUUUGAUUUGAGAGUUGAUAUAAGGAGGUACUUUCAGCAGUUGGCUACCAGUUUACCGUGGGCACGAUAACGGGACACCAAAUGUGUGUCCUUUCCGGUCCUCUCGUACUAAGGAAAGGUCCUCUCGAUGCUCUAAUGUCCGCACCGGAUAUGGAACGAACUGUCUCAGGACGUUCUGAACUCAGCUCAUGUACUGCUUUAGUGGGCGAAUAGCUCAAUCCUUGGAAUAUAUAAUCUUAAAGUGACUAUAAUCAUAACAAUCAAAUACUAUUUGCCAUUUUAGAUAGUGAAUCUCAAUAAAAAUUUAUAUAUAUAUAUAUAUAUGCUUUAAAAUAGUAUAUUAGAAUAAGUGCUAAUUUAAUGUGAUUAAAUCUAAAACCAUGAAGAUAUACUACUUUUUCAUUAGUGUUUUCUUUCCCUUUAACUUUGUAUUCAUUGUUGUUGAUGAUUCUAUGUUUAAUAAUAUUAUGAUCCAUAUCUCA